rnacentral:lncRNA from 1 species
AGAUAGUAGAGGUCAUACAACUUACAUCUGAUGCCAAUUGUCCGCUAUGAUAUCUGAUCCUGCAAGGUAAUAGUAUUUUUAGUGAAAGUGAAGAUAAUGUCCUGGGAUUUGGUCAGACAAGGUGAUAGAUAGUAAUUUAAAUGGGAAGUUAGGUACAUAAAGAACACAAUCGACAGUAAGAUAUGAAAGGGAAUGGGUAGUUCCAAUGUCCAUAUAUCUUUGAGAAGUUAAUGAUUGAUAGAAAGGUUAGCACACAAAAGUACAUAAUAUCUAGAAGUAGUUUUCUUGUAUAUUACCAUACUUAUAUCCUAAAGUUGAGGUUGUAGAGAGAAAGAGAUAUUGAGUUGAGUGUAAGUUUUGUGUAUGAUUUGAAUGGACAGGGAUGGAGUAGAUGUGAUGUGAGGGGCUACUUUGCAUGGUCUUUAUUGGACAACUUUGAAUGGGCUCAAGGUUAUACAAAACGGUUUGGAUUGGUGUAUGUUGACUAUAAAAAUGGUCUCAGCAGACACCCCAAGUCAUCUGCCUAUUGGUUUUCACGCUUUCUCAGAGCUGCCGAAAACAAGAAUGGUAAGGAAGACUAGUUCAUCACUUUCUUCACUGCCUCUUUCUGUGCUCUGUAAUGUCAUUUCUCUGCAUUUUCAUUUUCAUAUUUAUUUCUCUUGCUUUAUGCCAAAAAAUUCCAUUAUUGUAUGACCAACUUUAGUUAAACCCAUUGUGCGACUCCCAAAAAUAAAAUAAAUAUUUAUUAUUAAAUUGAGCUAGACACGUAAGAAAAAACCUCACUCCUAUCUUAGACAUAUUAUAAUAUAUUAUGCUACUCCUCUAACAAAUUUAUAAUCAUCAACCGUGGUUAACAUAUUAGGUUUCCUCUAGUUUGAAGUGUGAAACCGCAAUCAAAAGGAUCCAAAAGUCUUUAAUUUUAAUUGAUUAUCAAUUUUUUAGAUUGAUUUUUUAUUUUUCUUUGGAUCGAUUUAAUUCUUAACACCCCUAGAUUAAACCUUCAAAUUAUAAUUUCAAUUCAUCAUUAUUAUCCAUAUCAACUUUUAUUAAAGGUAACAUUGUGGAACGUUAUGUUAAUCAUCAUUUUUCCCCCAUAAAGCUCAUUUGUUUUUAAUGUCCACUCUAUAUUUCAACCAUUAUUGCCUAGAAUGAAGUGCAUUAAUCAUACUAAACGUAAAUAAGAAAAUUACAUGUGAUUAAGGAUGUGAUACAUAUGUAUAUACUCAUUUGUGUCCGAAUACCCAAUUUAGAAAAUUGGAUACUAUCUACAUAUACAUAUUGACACUCAUGUACAUAUUCAUACUCACGCUCAUGUCAAGUUAAUAUUGAGUUUAUGUUAAAAUCGAAAUGAGUUAGAAUAAUGCCACAAUAUCUACAUAUACAUAUUUAUUUGUCAUUUUAUUUGUCAUUCUUAGUAAAAAAAAUUGAGUAAUAAAAUUAAUUAAAAAAACAUUAGAAAAUGCAACAAAGUAAACAUUAAAAUUUAAUUAAAUAAUCUUGAAGAAACAUCUAAAUGUUUUACAAUACUAAUCACUCAAAAAUAAUUAAGAAGUAACACCCUUGCAUUUUUUCUUUUCACCCUUUAUUCUAAUAUCCGGAUUAACUAAUAUUUUUAUUCUCUUUUCUUCAUCAUUAUUUAGAUUUUUCAAAAUAAAAUCUCCUUUCCUGUAACACUUAAUUUAGGGUAUUUUCUCUCUCUUUUUUUUCCGAAACAAUUGAAUUAAAAUACAAUGCUAUUAAAGUAUAUAUAUACAUGAUUACUUUGAUGCACAUUUAUACUUAAAUUUUUUAGAGUCUUUUUCUGGAAGAUAAAAAAAAGAUAUUAUUAAGGUGUUUUGUUAUCCGGCAUAAUAGGAGUUUAUUCGUUUUGGAUUUUCCUAUGUGGGUCUUUGGACCGUUUUCUCUCUUAACCCAAUUAUUGGGCUUGUAUUCUUAUUUAAGUGUUUUGUUUCAUAACUGUAAAGACACUUUGAAUAAUACGUAAAAUUCUGUUUUUCAGAAUAUCACCGCUUUCAGUUUUUCUCAGUACUUCAAUCUCUUUGCUUUCAUUCUUUUCUUCUUAGUCAAUUCAAUCCCCAUGGUUUCAUUAUGGUAUUAGAGCGGGACUUGCUCUGCUUCAUCGCACUCUGAUCUUCUUUCUUUUCCUUGUAUUUUUUUUUUCUACAUCUUGUUUUCGGUUUCUUUUUUAUCAAUGGAUUUGUCUUCGAAUCCAUCAAGUGCAUACUAUCUGCAUAUGGGAGAAAACCCAGGAACGAUGCUCAUCAAAAUGCAACUUGACGGAAACAAUUAUCACACUUGGACUAGGACCAUGAAGAGAGCUCUCCUCUCCAUGAAGAAAUUAAAGUUUGUGAAUGGAGAUCUCUUUGAACCAACACAAGAUGAUGAGUUGCAUGAAGCAAGGGAACGCUGUAAUGUCAUGGUCAUAUCGUGGAUUAUGCGAACCUUGAGUGCUCAAAUCGCUCAAGCACCGUCUACAUAGAUAAUGCCAAAUGUCUACAUAGAUAAUGCCAAAGAUCUAUGGGAAGAAUUGAUAGAAAGAUUCUCCAAGAGUAACCAUUUUUCAUAUCCCAUCUUCUACCGGAAGUGAAUUCAAUCAAACAGGUCUUGUGGGAAGAACUAGAUUCUUUGUGGCUCAUACCUGUUUGCACAUGCAAUAACAAAUAUUUUUUCAAACUUUCCAGAGUCAUUCUUGAAUGGAGAGAAUUAGAAAGAGUCAUGUGUUUUCUGAAGGAUCUUGGUGAAGUGUAUAACAAUGUAAAGACACAUAUUCUUCUUCUUGAUAGAUGGACAAGUUUGCAAUGCCAUACAUCAACUUGAACAGGUUCUUGGUCUGCAUGGAUAGAACAAAAUUUUCCUUUGUUGCACAUUGAAUCUCGUACAAACCAUUAUGAAUCUUAGCUUGUCCAAUCAUCCUGAAUGUACUCAUUUCUUGUAUAUCACAUGUAUCACGAGAGAAAGUGAGCUUGUAGUUUAAAGAAGAUGCAAGACUAUGUACAUAAAGAAUGUUUAGAGUAAAUUCUAGUAUAUACAAAACAUUGUGUAUCAUGAAUUCUCUUGACAAAAAGAAAAUUCUUGCACAUCUUCCUAUAACAUAAGUAUUAUUAGGUAAUCGUAUUCUUAUUGACUUUAUCUUAUGUUGACUUGGGAAAAGAGUAAGAUCACAUGAAACAUGGUUUGUGGCACUAGUGUCCAAUCCAAAAUUUUGUGCAUACUUUACCUUUCUCAUAAGUUUGAACAAAUGAUUCAUUACCUUUCUCAAA